rnacentral:misc_RNA from 1 species
AAGUCGUAACAAGGUCUCCGUAGGUGAACCUGCGGAGGGAUCAUUAACACGUUUUAAAACACGUUUUAUACCAACCAACCACGUGAACUAUUUAACACUCCUGGAAGAGAGAGAAUGUCUGUCUUCUCACACUAAUGAUGAGUUUCUCUCGCAAGAGGGAGACAGUGUGAUUCGACUAGCAUUGCAGCCGUGAAAACAGCUGACAGUGAAAAGACCUUUCUCUUUUGGGAUAAAUGCCUCUCUCAUCACUGGGGCGAAAACAACCACUUUCACCAUUUCUAUAACCAUUGACUGAUCUUUCUAUUUCUUAUUAUGGCAACAUAGUAAUGAAGAUUGAAACCAUUAAUCAAAUAUCUAAGCACAACUCUUAGCAACGGAUAUCUUGGUUCUC